rnacentral:rRNA from 1 species
CUAUGCGCCUUGCCAGCCCGCUCAGGUGUGCCAGCCGCCGCGGUAAUACGGAGGAUGCGAGCGUUAUCCGGAUUUAUUGGGUUAAAGGUGCGUAGGCGGUCCGUUAAGUCAGCGGUAAAAUUGCGGGGCUCAACCCCGUCGAGCCGUUGAAACUGUCAGACUUGAGUUGGCGAGAAGUACGCGGAAUGCGCGGUGUAGCGGUGAAAUGCAUAGAUAUCGCGCAGAACUCCGAUUGCGAAGGCAGCGUACCGGCGCCACACUGACGCUGAGGCACGAAAGCGUGGGGAUCGAACAGG